ensembl:lincRNA Haglr Hoxd antisense growth associated long non-coding RNA
AAAAACUAUGGAGAAAAAGAAGGUGUGCCCAAGGCUGGACCGAAGUCAUCCUGCCCCUUCUUCAAAAGAGAGACACCUCCCAAGGCCAACGCCCUCCGGAGGGGCCCAGGUGCUCCUCCCUUCUGGCAUCUAUUCCGUCUGGCAUCUAUUCCUCUGCAAAGGAUCAGAAAGGAAGCCGCUGGCUCAAUGGAUUCUGGACUUCGGGUAGACCUGACUGCUUUGGGGCAUCCUCAAUCGGGCGGUGAAGCCUCUGGGGGCAGAGGAGCGCCGUGGGAGAAAGACAAGCUAGGCUGCUGCUUCCCUACCCAUGCCAACUUCCCGGGUCUCGUCUUGAAACAAGAGCAGAGGCCUGAGACCCGGGCGCCAUUGCUGGCCAGGCUCCCCUCCCCCACACUCCUUUCUUUGCUUCUCGAAGACCCGGGAGGGAGGAGGCGGCGAGCGCCUCGGUGGAUAGAGCUGCUAUUGUGACCUUCCCGGGCUAAGCGGGGAACCCAGCGGAGUGUGUACUGCCCGCGGUGGCGGGGGAGGAGGUGACUGUGUGCAAGCCUCGAGUGCAGAGGGGGUGGCACCCGGGAAUAAAUAAAGGCUUGCAACCUCGGGCACUUGGACCCUUCGGAGAGCGUUUGGUUGUGUUUAGACUUGGGUGCUUCCUAACACUAAUUGCAGGCUCAAGAGGAGCGGAAUUUAUGGCGAAGGCCAAGGCGGCUUGUUUAUAAUUUAUGAAGUUUUAAAUGGUUGUGCCGCGGGCCCAGCUCUCUCCGGCGGGCGGCCGCGUGGGAGUGUGCCCUCCCAGAACUCGCCGCCGCCCCCACCCACGCUAGGAGUGAGUGUGCCUGUCACGUGACUCGCGUUGGUGGCAGGAAAGAACCAAGCAAUUCUCUGAAGUCUCCAGAACUUCAGAAGGUAGGCGAAGGCGGCAGGUUUGGUCGAAGCGACCCCUCCCCCUUCUUCCAACAUCCUCCCUCCACCGCCGGGCCUGUGAGGUUGCGGCUGCCUAGACGGUGGGAACCCCCAACCUGACACUUCCUUAGAGCCUAUGUGUGAGAGGAAGCUGAUGUCAGCCGGGCUAGACACUGUUUAAAGUCUAAUCCAUGAAACCCUAAGCCACAGAUGACGCUUGGGGUAUUGCAGACACCCGCAGACUCAGCAGAUACUCCUGCGGUAACACACCGCGCUGGGAAACGCCUGGAGCCAUGAUGCAUUAUGUAUUUUUAUUAUUAUUUAUGGUAUGAAGAGGAGAUGAGAGAAACCGGGCUGAAUCUAAACAGCCUGACAAUUCAUCUAUUUAAUAUUUAGCCAGUUAAGAAAGGUGGCUGUGGUUCCCUACGAGGCAGCUAGCAUUUCUUUGAUUUCCGUAAUAGCUUAAAAAAUAAUUUCUUACAAUUAUAAAUUCUGUCUAGGAAUGCAAAUUUCAGAGAAAACAAUGUUAAGCCUUGAGAGUGGGUAAAAUAUGCCUUCGAUUGAAGUCAUUUAUUCUGUUGAUACAAUUCUACAACAUAUAUACUUUAAACUUGCUCAGAUAGAGUGAAAUUUAGCAAAAGGAUAACCCCUCCCACCCCCAGCCUAACAUGCCAUUUUUAAAACAGCACAAAGGAACAAGGAAACUAAAUAUUCUUUUGAGCCAUCAUUACUGAGCGAGAAACACAAACAUCCAAAUAGAAAACGAUUGCUGUUGCACCAGAAGAGUAGAAGUUAUCUCCACACAAUGGGAAUUUCACCUCGUGUCACCAGGCUGGUAGUGGGAGUUGCAUAUUUGCCAAACCAACUAGAGAUGCGUGGGUGGACUUUGCUGAAAUACAAAAUAAUUGAACCUUGUCUGAAGGCCUUUUUCCAAGUGCUCCCUUCUAUAGAAGUGGGUGUAAGUGCUCGACCCUUCCUAGAGCCACACUAAUAAUAUUUACAAAACGAUUAUAAAUUCUGUAGACUAUUUGCCCAUUUUGCACAAAGAAACAGGAGUAAGCAAGGUGUUUAUACGUGUUGUGUUCUAUUAAUGAACCUUUCGUUAUUUUACAUUGUGAAGAAUGUUUGUUUUCUUUAAAAGUGAACUGCUGACCACU